rnacentral:rRNA from 1 species
UACGAAGGGGGCUAGCGUUGCUCGGGAAUCACUGGGCGUAAAGGGUGCGUAGGCGGGUCUUUAAGUCAGGGGUGAAAUCCUGGAGCUCAACUCCAGAACUGCCUUUGAUACUGAGGAUCUUGAGUUCGGGAGAGGUGAGUGGAACUGCGAGUGUAGAGGUGAAAUUCGUAGAUAUUCGCAAGAACACCAGUGGCGAAGGCGGCUCACUGGCCCGAUACUGACGGCUGAGGCAC